UUAUUACGAGUACUAGUAAAAUGAGGACUGUGACACCCCUGAUUCGUUUAGUAAAAUCAUCAAUAAAUUGCUAUUAAUAAACCAUCAUUCUAAUUGUUUAUUCCUUUGCUACUUUGCUCUUUACAGUGCACAUUACGUACUCAUACGUCUUAUAAAUAAUAAGUUCGAACCACCGUCAUUUCUACAUAUAACAUGUCGGACUCCGAGUUUGAAACUAUUGUACCCCUAAAUAACAAGACUGGAGGUGCGAAAGCGAAAAAACCGGUGCAGAAAAGAAAGUCCGAUGCUGCUAAUAGGUCCGAUUCAGAACGAGAGUGGGAAGAAAUUGACGCGG